rnacentral:piRNA from 1 species
AGAUUAUGCUAAUGUGAAAGA